CCACCGCAGCCGCCACAUCCCUGAGCGCCGCCCGGGUGCAGGGUCGCUGCGGGAGAGCGACCCCGCGGCCGCCAGGUGCAUGAACUCAGCAAGUGACAUUUCCUAUGAUUCCAAUGUUAACAUGAAAAAAAAAUGAAGAUAAUUCCAGUGACUACCAAAUGAGACAACUGUAAAAUCAAUCUACCUUCAAAUGUAUAGAACUCAGUCUGGUUCUUAAUACAGUUUUGCUCUAGAAACCUUCAUCUCUGCAUCCUGGGAGUGGGUAGCUCUGGGUAGCAAAAGCAGCUCCGUGUGCAGAAAGCAGAUCUGUGCAAGGAGAAGUAAGCCCUCAUCUCUCUGAAAAUGGGCCCUUGUUUAUAUCCCCUGAACCCACCUUUUGUUUGGAGGGCUAUGCUGUGCAUUUGAUUCAGUGUGGAGCUUCAUGGGAGUCAGUGGCAAACACUGUCUGGUUGGUGAUAUCUC
rnacentral:lncRNA from 1 species